UAGAUAGUGGGAUACUUUCCUUUCUGAGCAAACAAUGAGAAAGGCUGCUUCCUCUCCACCCUCCCUAUCCCCGACCCUGGGCAUCGCACUCCUCUACCUAGACAUCACUAUAAAAAGACAGCCAACAAUAAAGAUGGGUCUGGACAGUAGGAAUGCAUGUGUGGCGGUAUGAUCUCUAGUAUGAGGACCAAAGGACCUCUACAACCAAAAGAGAUUUCCAAGACCUUGGUAUAUCUAAAGAGGACUCCUCAAAGAUAAGACCACAAAAGUGAGGAACAAUUCAACAAGGCAACCACACAUGACCCUGUGUAAAGCAUUCCUGAAGCUGAAGGGAAAACAAACUUCAAAAAUCAUGACAUUGCUGAAUGAAAGCAGAAAGUCUUUAAAAUGCGAGUUUUUCAUUAAAAAUAUUAAAUGCAAAGGCGAUAAAUGCUUAAAGAAUAUAAUAAAAGUCG
ensembl:lncRNA novel transcript